AUUCAGCUGAAAAGUCUCAAAUAGGACGAAACGUGCGUCAAACUGGAU
rfam:Schistosoma margrebowiei strain Zambia genome assembly, scaffold: SMRZ_scaffold0001485